GACGAACGCUGGCGGCGUGCCUAAUACAUGCAAGUCGAGCGAAGCGGCGGACGGGUUAGUAUCACGUAUGUAACCUACCGAUCAGCGUGGGACCACAUCCGGAAACGGGUGCUAAUACCGCAUACUUAUCGAUGUCCUUGCGGUGCAUUCGCUCGUUGGUGGGGUAACGGCCUACCAAGGCAAUGCUGCAUAGCCGACCUGAGAGGGUAAGCGGCCACAAUGGGACUGAGACACGGCCCAAACUCCUACGGGAGGCAGCAGUAGGGAAUCUUCCGCAAUGGGCGCAAGCCUGAUGGAGCAACGCCGCGUGAGUGAAGAAGGUUUUCGGAUCGUAAAGCUCUGUAGUAAGAGAAGCGGUAUCUUACCAGAAAGCCACGGCUAACUACGUGCCAGCAGCCGCGGUAAUAC
rnacentral:rRNA from 1 species